CAAGAUCAACGCUCCCAGCAUAUGAACAAGGCCAAAGCACUAAAAAUAUUAUGUGCAAAACUAUAUGAAAUAGAGCGACUCAGCAAUCAGUCAAGUAGAUCGAAACUUCGACUGGAGCAGAUUGGGAGUGGGGACAGAUCAGAGCGGAUCCGCACCUAUAAUUUCCCUCAAGGACGGGUUACUGAUCACCGUGUUGGCAUCACAACUCAUUCCAUAGAUGAUGUUCUCCAG
rnacentral:misc_RNA from 1 species